rnacentral:rRNA from 1 species
CUACGGAGGGUGCAAGCGUUACUCGGAAUCACUGGGCGUAAAGCGCGCGCAGGCGGCCAUUUAAGUUGGAUGUGAAAGCCUACGGCUCAACCGUAGAACUGCAUCCAAAACUAUUUGGCUAGAGUGUGGGAGAGGAAGAUGGAAUUAGUUGUGUAGGGGUAAAAUCCGUAGAGAUAACUAGGAAUACCAAAAGCGAAGGCAAUCUUCUGGAACACUACUGACGCUGAGGCGCGAAAGCGUGGGGAGCAAACGGGAUUAGAAACCCGAGUAGUCC